rnacentral:rRNA from 1 species
CGAUCGCAAGGUUGAAACUCAAAGGAAUUGACGGGGGCCCGCACAAGCGGUGGAUUAUGUGGUUUAAUUCGAAGCAACGCGAAGAACCUUACCAGGGCUUGACAUCCUGCUAACGAGGUAGAGAUACGUCAGGUGCCCUUCGGGGAAAGCAGAGACAGGUGGUGCAUGGUUGUCGUCAGCUCGUGUCGUGAGAUGUUGGGUUAAGUCCCGCAACGAGCGCAACCCUUAUUGUUAGUUGCUACGCAAGAGCACUCUAGCGAGACUGCCGUUGACAAAACGGAGGAAGGUGGGGACGACGUCAAAUCAUCAUGCCCCUUAUGUCCUGGGCUACACACGUAAUACAAUGGCGGUCAACAGAGGGAUGCAAUACCGUGAGGUGGAGCGAACCCCUAAAAGCCGUCCCAGUUCAGAUCGCAGUCUGCAACUCGACUGCGUGAAGUCGGAAUCGCUAGUAAUCGCGGAUCAGCAUGCCGCGGUGAAUACGUUCCCGGGCCUUGUACACACCGCCCGUCACACCAUGAGAGUCGGGAACACCCGAAGUCCGUAGCCUAACCGCAAGGGGGGCGCGGCCGAAGGUGGGUUCGAUAAUUGGGGUGAAGUCGUAACAAGGUAGCCGU